rnacentral:rRNA from 1 species
UACGAAGGGGGCUAGCGUUGUUCGGAAUCACUGGGCGUAAAGCGCACGUAGGCGGAUCUUUAAGUCAGGGGUGAAAUCCCGAGGCUCAACCUCGGAACUGCCUUUGAUACUGGGGAUCUCGAGUCCGGGAGAGGUGAGUGGAACUGCGAGUGUAGAGGUGAAAUUCGUAGAUAUUCGCAAGAACACCAGUGGCGAAGGCGGCUCACUGGCCCGGAACUGACGCUGAGGUGCGAAAGCGUGGGGAGCGA